AUUUUUAUAUUAAAUUAAAAUAUAUAUAUUAACUUAAAAACAAAUUUAACCUAACUCCCACAUUCACACGCACUCACAACACUUUACCAGCAGCCGCAACCCACAAAUACCUAACACCCAAAUCCCCCCAAUUCCGUAGGAUGUCGCCGUCUGCCUCACGGCCUCGCCUAAGCCUCGUGUCCAAGCCUCGAUCUGAGUCGGUUGCUGUCGUUGCGCGCUGCACGCCUCGAUCUGAGUCGGUCGCUGCCGCUGCACGCUGCACGCCUCGAUCUGAGUGAGUUGCUGCCGCUACACGCUCGAUCUGAGUCAGUUGCUGUCGAAUCCUCGCCAUCGAAGAAGCCUCUUGCCGUCGAAUCCUCGCCAUCGAAGAAGCCUCUUGCCGUCGAAUCCUCGCCAUCGGAGAAGCCUCGUCUAAGCACUUUAAUUAAAAUGGUAUUGGCAAGCCUUGUUGAAUCCUUUGGCCUUUGUUGAUUCAAUUUAGUUUAAUUUUGAAUAAAUUUCUUUGCUGAUUCGUUUCAUCACUUUAAUUAAAUGCAUUAAUUUUCAAUAUAAUGUAAAUGUUUAAUAGGUUUUGGGAUUAAGUUUUAAUUUGGAAAAUUGUUGAAUUUUCAAAAUUAAAAAUUUAAAUGAAAUCUUGGUGAAACCUGUUGUCAUAUGCUGAUUAACAUAGCUAGUCUCUGAAAUAAUUUCUUGAUUCACUAAUUAUGAGUUCAAAUUUGAUGCAGAAUGGGCAACCAGCCUACUGCAAACAAAUCUUCUGGAACAGUUCAGAUGAAGGGACAGCCAAUCCAGCAAAACAGUUAUAAACAACUCUAAAUAAAUUCAUAUACGCAUUGUAACUAAUUACAGCCUUGAUACUUCAUUUGGUUUUUGUUAAUUUUCUAUACAGUUGUGCUGUGCAUUAAAGUUUUGUUAAAUGAAAUCGGUAGGUGAGGAUUAAUUAAUCAAUUAAUUAAGAUCCAGUUAAUGUAAUUAAUUUUAUUGGAUUUUUUUAAUUCGAGUUCUAAAUUAAUCAAUUAAUUUAGAUUCAUGUGAAAUUGAAGUGAAUUAGUUUCGAUCUGUUUUUCGUCCUAUGUUUGUCUCUGUUUACUCGUACUUUUUUUUUAAAGAGUAUAAGUAACAUUGCAGUACAGUUAGCCCUUGCGUGUUUAAUUAGCAAUUGAAAACUACUGUUGCUGAUGAGGUAGAACAUUAUAACACUGUUGCUGAUGAGGCAGCUGGUAAUUCUUCUGGUGAAGAUAUUAAGACUAUUAAAGCUGAAAUGUAAUUAGAGAAAUAUAAUGCAUUCCCUUAGUUUGCUUUUUGUUUUUUAUAUUUGUUUUGCUAAUGCUUUGCUUAGAUUGCUUUUUGUUUUUUGAGAUUUUAUUGGCUUAGUCAUGGGGUAUUGUUUUCUCUUCUAAUUUCUAUUUUUGUUGUUAUGGGAUUUGAUUGUAGUGUACAUAUACGAAAAUUAUGUAAUCAAGU
rnacentral:lncRNA from 1 species